CAACGACACCAUCUCUGCAGAUCCAGGAAGCAGCGUCAGGAGGGACCGCCCUCAGAGGCUCUGGAGGACCCAGCUAAGCAAGUCUGCAGACUGCUGGGAGCCGACACGCACCUGCCUUUGACCUUCCUGCCGAGUCGUCCUGCAGCCACAGAUGGAGUCUCACUCUGCCACCCAGGCUGGAGUGCACUAUCUUGGCUCAAGGCAGUCUCAACCUCCUGACCUCAAGCGACCCUUCUGCCUCAGCCUCCUUAAUCUCUUUAUUUUUGAAUGAAGAUUUAACUGAUCUAUUUCCAGAGGGCAAAAAGCAAAAGUUAAGCCCAAACUGUAAGGGUACAGGUGUGUGGGGGUGCUUGGGGGUGGGUACCAAGAAGCUCCCAGGAAUUCUAAAGGAAG